rnacentral:rRNA from 1 species
GAUGAACGCUAGCGGCAGGCUUAACACAUGCAAGUCGAGGGGCAGCAUGGAAGGUUAGCAAUAACUUUUGAUGGCGACCGGCGCAAGGGUGCGUAACGCGUGAGCAACUUGCCCGUUUCUGGGGGAUAACCGGUGGAAACGCCGACUAAUACCCCAUAGCAUUGAUUUCAGGCAUCUGUUAUCAAUUAAAGAAUUUCGGAAACGGAUAGGCUCGCGUGACAUUAGCUAGAUGGCGGGGUAACGGCCCACCAUGGCGACGAUGUCUAGGGGUUCUGAGAGGAAGGUCCCCCCACACUGGAACUGAGACACGGUCCAGACUCCUACGGGAGGCAGCAGUGAGGAAUAUUGGUCAAUGGUCUGACGACUGAACCAGCCAUGCCGCGUGAAGGUGACGGCCCUAUGAGUUGAAACUGCUUUUGUACAAGGGUAAACCUCGGUACGUGUACCGAGUUGAAAGUACUGUACGAAUAAGGAUCGGCUAACUCCGUG